GGAGUGCCUCAUUUCUAAUUUGAGUUUUUGCAUGAUGAUAGAGAGAGAGAGACAGAGACACAGAGAGACAGAGAGACAGAGAAUCUAGGAGACUGUAUAGACAUGGGCAGACAUACUGAGAAACUAAUAGGAAAUUGGAAUUGGGAGACCAAACUCUAAGAGGAAACAGAUGAGAGGACAGAAAUGAGGGGAAGGAGGUGACAGGACAGUGGGAACACCCAGGUCCUGUGGACAGAGGCAGGAUGGAGAUGCCAGACACCACCUGUCACAGGGCUCAUGUGGAGGCAGGAGGCAUGCCCAGGCCCAGUCACAAACAGGCAGAGUCUCAGAAUAAAAUGGGCUGGGAUCAGAAUAUCUGCAUCCAGUCUUCCCUAAGGUGCUGAGGAACUGUGUGCUGCUUGUGCCCAGGACCUGGAAGCCACCCAUCAGCAUGUCUAGCCAGCAGAGCCAGAAGCAGUGUCAGCCCCCUCCCAAGUCUACCCCUAAGUGUCCCCCCAAGUGCCCCCCAGUGUCCUCCUGCUGCAGCUCUGGGGGUGGGGGCUGCUGUAGCUCUGGGGGUGGGGGCUGCUGUAGCUCUGGGGGUGGGGGCUGCUGCCUGAGCCACCACAGGCCCCGCAGGUCCCACCCCCACAGGCAGAGCUCUGGCUGCUGCAGCCAUUCCUCACGGGGCUCCAGCUGCUGUGGAGGGGGGAGCACUCAGUCCUCUGGAGGCUGCUGCUGAAAGACACCUGGGGGCAAGAAAAGUACAAAGUGGGCCUCUAUCUGCCCAGGAUGUCACUUGUCAUCUACUCUGCCCUUGGGGCCUGAGAUGACCCAGAGGAGACACUCAGCCGUGAAGACAGCAGAUACUCUUGGAGUCAAACUCAGAUCCUCUCUUGAAACCCCAUUCACUAGUUUGGCUCUCAUCUUUGGUGUACCCUCACUUUAAAAUUCAGUAAUCAAAGUCCUCCACCUUGUCUUUUUGUAUUAAUUCUGAUGCCUAGAAACACACAAUAAAACAAGUGAUUUACUGAG